GAAACUCAGAGCACAGCUGCCCUUAGGGAGCACCGGGGAGCACAGUGGCCUCUUUCCCAGCUAGGCUGGUGCAUGGAAACAGGGACUCUGAGGGUUCCCAUCUGAGCCUCCGCACUUCCCCUAGAAGGAGCUGAUGUGGCUGACCAGCCUGGCCAGGGCCCAGCGGCCAUCCUCAGAUCUCAGCACACCAGCUUCUCCAGCUCAUAAGCCUCAGGACUAACCUCAGAUGAUGCUUAUUCUCCACGUACUCCAAGCCUGGCCUUUAAGCGACGGCCCAGGAAGCCACACCUGAGACCUUGGGAGGCGCGGCUGUUGCUGCAAAGGGCGCCUCCUGCUGUUCUUCAGCCACUUUGCGGAAACCUUUCUGCCCC